rnacentral:rRNA from 1 species
GCGCGAAAACUUUACAAUGCUGGCAACAGCGAUAAGGGAACCUCGAGUGCCAGGUUACAAAUCUGGCUGUCGAGAUGCCUAAAAAGCAUUUCAUAGCAAGGGCCGGGCAAGACCGGUGCCAGCCGCCGCGGUAACACCGGCGGCUCGAGUGGUAACCGUUAUUAUUGGGUCUAAAGGGUCUGUAGCCGGCCGGAUAAGUCUCUUGAGAAAUCUGGCAGCUUAACUGUCAGGCUUUCAGGAGAUACUGUCUGGCUCGAGGCCGGGAGAGGUGAGAGGUACUUCAGGGGUAGGGGUGAAAUCUUGUAAUCCUUGAAGGACCACCAGUGGCGAAGGCGUCUCACCAGAACGGACCUGACGGCAAGGGACGAGAGCUAGGGGCACGAACCG